UACGUAGGGUGCGAGCGUUAAUCGGAAUUACUGGGCGUAAAGCGUGCGCAGGCGGUUCGUUAAGUCAGAUGUGAAAGCCCCGGGCUCAACCUGGGAACUGCAUUUGAAACUGGCGGGCUUGAGUGUGGCAGAGGGGGGUGGAAUUCCACGUGUAGCAGUGAAAUGCGUAGAGAUGUGGAGGAACACCGAUGGCGAAGGCAGCCCCCUGGGAUAAGACUGACGCUCAUGUACGAAAGCGUGGGGAGCAAACAGG
rnacentral:rRNA from 1 species